CUACGGGAUGCAGCAGUGGGGAAUAUUGGACAAUGGGGGAAACCCUGAUCCAGCAAUGCCGCGUGUGUGAAGAAGGCCUUAGGGUUGUAAAGCACUUUCAGUAGUGAGGAAAAGUUUAAGGCUAAUACCCUUGAACCCUGACGUUAACUACAGAAGAAGCACCGGCUAACUUCGUGCCAGCAGCCGCGGUAAUACGAAGGGUGCAAGCGUUAAUCGGAUUUACUGGGCGUAAAGCGCGCGUAGGCGGUUUGAUAAGUCGGAUGUGAAAGCCCCGGGCUCAACCUGGGAAUUGCAUUCGAUACUGUCAGGCUAGCGUAUGGUAGAGGGAAGUAGAAUUCCACGUGUAGCGGUGAAAUGCGUAGAUAUGUGGAGGAACACCAGUGGCGAAGGCGACUUCCUGGCCCAAUACUGACGCUGAGGUGCGAAAGCGUGGGGAGCAAACAGGAUUAGAUACCCCAGUAGUC
rnacentral:rRNA from 1 species